UACGUAGGGUGCAAGCGUUAUCCGGAAUCAUUGGGCGUAAAGAGCUCGCAGGCGGCCUAUUAAGUCUGAUGUGAAAGUCCGAGGCUCAACCUCGGAAUUGCAGUCGAUACUGCUGUGACUCGAGUCCGGUAGAGGAGAAUGAAAUUCUCGGUGUAGCGGUGAAAUGCGCAGAUAUCGAGAGGAACACCAGUAGCGAAGGCGGUUCUCUGGGCCGGCACUGACGCUGAGGAGCGAAAGCGUGGGGAGCAAACAGG
rnacentral:misc_RNA from 1 species